rnacentral:rRNA from 1 species
GAUGAACGCUGGCGGCGUGCUUAACACAUGCAAGUCGAACGGUGAAGCAGAGCUUGCUCUGUGGAUCAGUGGCGGACGGGUGAGUAACACGAGAGCAACCUGCACCUGACUCUGGGAUAAGCGCUGGAAACGGCGACGAAUACUGAAUAUGAGCUGCGACCGCAUGGUCCGCAGUUGGAAAGAUUUUUCGGUCUGGGAUGUGCUCGCGGCCUAUCAGCUUGUUGGUGAGGUAAUGGCUCACCAAGGCGUGGACGGGUAGCCGGCCUGAGAGGGUGACAGGCCCCACUGGGACUGAGACACGGGCCAGAGUCCUACGGCAGGCAGCAGCGGGGAACAUUGGACAAUGGGCGAAAGCCUGAUGCAGCACCGCCGCGUGAGGGAUGACGGUCUUCGGGUUGUAAACCUCUUUUAGCAGGGAAGAAGCGAAAGUGACGGUACCUGAAGAAAAAGCGCCGGCUAACUACGUG